GAUGAACGCUGGCGGCGUGCCUAAUGCAUGCAAGUCGAGCGAACGGACGAGAAGCUUGCUUCUCUGAUGUUAGCGGCGGACGGGUGAGUAACACGUGGAUAACCUACCUAUAAGACUGGGAUAACUUCGGGAAACCGGAGCUAAUACCGGAUAAUAUUUUGAACCGCAUGGUUCAAAAGUAAAAGACGGUCUUGCUGUCACUUAUAGAUGGAUCCGCGCUGCAUUAGCUAGUUGGUAAGGUAACGGCUUACCAAGGCAACGAUGCAUAGCCGACCUGAGAGGGUGACCGGCCACACUGGAACGGAGACACGGUCCAGACUCCUACGGGAGGCAGCAGUAGGGAAUCUUCCGCAAUGGGCGAAAGCCUGACGGAGCAACGCCGCGUGAGUGAUGAAGGUCUUCGGAUCGUAAAACUCUGUUAUUAGGGAAGAACAUAUGUGUAAGUAACUGUGCACAUCUUGACGGUACCUAAUCAGAAAGCCACGGCUAACUACGUG
rnacentral:rRNA from 1 species